GAUGAACGCUAGCUACAGGCUUAACACAUGCAAGUCGAGGGACCGGCGCACGGGUGAAUAACCCGUAUCCAACCUGCCCUUUACUCGGGGAUAGCCUUUCGCAAGAAAGAUUAAUACCCGAUAUAAAGGAUGGGGAUGCGUUCCAUUAGGUUGUUGGUGAGGUACCGGCUCACCAAGCCUUCGAUGGAUAGGGGUUCGGAGAGGAAGGUCCCCGACAUUGGAACUGAGACACGGUCCAAACUCCUACGGGAGGCAGCAGUGAGGAAGAUUGGUCAAUGGGCGGUAGCCUGAACCUGCCAAGUAGCGUGAAGGAUGAAGGGUUAUGGGUCGUAAACUUCUUGUAUAUAAGAAUAUGUAUUAGAUGAAUAAGGAUCGGCUAACUCCGUGCCAGCAGCCGCGGUAAUUC
rnacentral:rRNA from 1 species